rnacentral:rRNA from 1 species
AACGAACGCUGGCGGCAGGCUUAACACAUGCAAGUCGAGCGUCCCGCAAGGGGAGCGGCAGACGGGUCAGUAACGCCUUGGAAACUACCCAUCUCUACGCAACAACGCCUGGAAACGUGUGCUAAUACCGUAUACGUCCUUCGGGAGAAAGAUUUGUCGGAGAUGGAUUAGCCCGCGUUGGAUUAGCUAGUUGCUGGGGUAAAGGCCUACCCAGGCGACGAUCCAAAGCUGGUCUGAGCGGAUGAUCAGCCACACUGGGACUGAGACACGGCCCAGACUCCUCCGGGAGGCAGCAGUGGGGAAUGUUGGACAAUGGGCGCGAGCCUGGUCCAGUCAUGCCGCGUGAGGGAGGGAGGCCCUAGGGUUGUAAAGCUCUUUCACCGGUGAAGAUAAAGACGGAAACCGGGGAAGAAGCCCCGGAUAACUUCGUGCCGGCCGCCGCCAUAAAAC